rnacentral:rRNA from 1 species
UACGUAGGGUCCGAGCGUUGUCCGGAAUUAUUGGGCGUAAAGAGCUCGUAGGCGGUCUGUCGCGUCUGCUGUGAAAACCUGGGGCUUAACCCCCGGGCCUGCAGUGGGUACGGGCAGACUAGAGUGUGGUAGGGGAGACUGGAAUUCCUGGUGUAGCGGUGAAAUGCGCAGAUAUCAGGAGGAACACCGGUGGCGAAGGCGGGUCUCUGGGCCAUAACUGACGCUGAGGAGCGAAAGCGUGGGGAGCGAACA